rnacentral:rRNA from 1 species
CCCUUAGACGUUCUGGGCCGCACGCGCGCUACACUGACCAGUGCAACAAGCAUCCGUCCUUGGCCGACAGGCUCGGGCAAUCUUUGAACGCUGGUCGUGAUGGGGAUAGACUUUUGCAAUUUUUGGUCUUCAACCAGGAAUUCCUAGUAAACGCAAGUCAUCAACUUGCAUUGAUUACGUCCCUGCCCUUUGUACACACCGCCCGUCGCACCUACCGAUUGAAUGGUCCGGUGAAGCCUCCGGAUUGGCGCGCACCUCGGUGCCGCCGAGAAGUUGGCUAAACCUUACCAUUUAGAGGAAGGUGAAGUCGUAACA